UCCAGGCUGAGGUGCUGCCCAAUA
rnacentral:misc_RNA from 1 species